rnacentral:rRNA from 1 species
UGGGGAAUCUUGGACAAUGGGCGCAAGCCUGAUCCAGCCAUGCCGCGUGAGCGAUGAAGGCCUUAGGGUUGUAAAGCUCUUUCACCGGUGAAGAUAAUGACGGUAGCCGGAGAAGAAGCCCCGCUAACUCCGUGCCAGCAGCCGCGGUAAUACGGAGGGGGCGUAGCGUUGUUCGGAAUUACUGGGCGUAAAGCGCGCGUAGGCGGACUGAUCAGUCAGGGGUGAAAUCCCGGGGCUCAACCCGCAAGACCUGCCUUUGAUACUGUCAGUCUUGAGUCCGGAAGAGGCGAGUGGAAUACCGAGUGUAGAGGUGAAAUUCGUAGAUAUUCGGUGGAACACCAGUGGCGAAGGCGACUCGCUGGUCCGGUACUGACGCUGAGGUGCGAAAAGCGUGGGAGCAAAC